rnacentral:rRNA from 1 species
AGGCAGCAGUGGGGAAUAUUGGACAAUGGGCGCAAGCCUGAUCCAGCCAUGCCGCGUGUGUGAAGAAGGCCUUCGGGUUGUAAAGCACUUUUGUUGGGGACGAAAGCCGACGGGUUAAUAGCGUGUCGGGAUGACGGUACCCAAAGAAUAAGCACCGGCUAACUUCGUGCCAGCAGCCGCGGUAAUACGAAGGGUGCAAGCGUUACUCGGAAUUACUGGGCGUAAAGCGUGCGUAGGCGGUUUGUUAAGUCUGCUGUGAAAGCCCUGGGCUCAACCUGGGAACUGCAGUGGAUACUGGCGAGCUAGAGUGUGUCAGAGGAUGGUGGAAUUCCCGGUGUAGCGGUGAAAUGCGUAGAGAUCGGGAGGAACACCAGUGGCGAAGGCGGCCAUCUGGGACAACACUGACGCUGAGGCACGAAAGCGUGGGGAGCAAACAGGAUUAGAUACCCUGGUAG